GCAGGGUCUGGGGAAGGGGCGACCUUCCACGGGUGCACCUGUGUCCUUGCCGAUUUCUGAGUGCGGCCGUGCCUUCUCGUCCUGCGAGGGGCAGAGCGCCCUGUCUGCCUCCAGACUGGCCACCCAUAUGCGAUGCCUUCCGGGGAAGCAGCCCCUUCUGUUGUCUGUCUGUCAGCGUGUGUGUCGGAGCAGGCAGCUCUGGGCCUACAACAGGGACCCCGGGACGCCGUCCUGGUGUCGACCGGUUUCCCCUGUUCUGACUUUCCCCGUAAAGAUGGGAGCAGAGGUGAGUUCCGAAGGGAGGGUGGGAAGGGCAGCUGUGUCUUCACGAUCCCCGCCCCAUGGUGGUCUCCACGGGAAGAGAUGGGCGCUGCGCUCACGUGGUGUUUGAGGCCCAGGAGUGUGUUUGAAGGAAAUGUGUGUGUCAGAGGUGAGACAGACAGACAGGAUGAUAGACAGGGACAGAGACAGUCACGUGGGGUGGGGGCAUCUGAGCCUGGCGGGCUGGGGCAGCAGGCGCUGGGGGACGGGCAUCGGGGGCUUGGGGAGCGGCCUGCCGCUGCGGGCACAGGACAGGACUCGAAGGGACGCUCCAGGAGAGGACACGUACUUGGCACUCGGUGGCUUGCCUUCUGCCAGACAAAGUAGUAAGUUGCCAAAAACUGUAAUAAAAGACAAAGAAGGCCGUUACACAGGAUGAAGGAGUCAACCCAAGAGAAGGACUCAACAGUCAUAACCACGUCUGCACCCAGUGUCGGAGCACCCAGAUAUAUAAAACAAAUAUUGACAGACCUGAAGGGGGAGAUCGACCUCAGUACAGCAGAGUAGGAGACUACGAUGUAUUAAUGCUGCUGCUGCUGCUGCUGUGUUGUCAUAGAAAUGGGAAAUAGCAGGAGACUGUUAUUUCCAACAGUGGACAGACUAUCCCGACGGAAAGUCAAUCAACAGGUGGCUCGAACAACAGUGUCGGCCAAGAGGAUCCAGCAGGCAUGUACACAGCCUGCCAGCCCCAGGCUGAAGAAUACACAUUCGUCUCGAGCACACAGUGACCAUCCUCCAUGGGAAAUCACGCAUUCGGUCACCCAACAAGUCUUAACACAUUUAAGAAUAUAGAAAUCAUUCCAAGUCUCUUUUCCAACCACAAUGGAAUAAAACUGGAUUUUUUUUUUAGAAGAGGGAAAAUUCAGAAAUAAAUGGAAACUAAAGAACACAUUCUUGAAUAACCAUUGGUUCAAAGAAGAAACGAAACGGGAAUUAAAAGUAUCUUGAGACAAAAACAAAAGCACAGCACCCGAAAACUUCUGGGACGCAGCGCAGCCUGAACUAAGGAGGAAGGUGAUAGCAAUAAACUCUACCAGCGGAAGGAGAAAGGCCUCGCACACAGGCUGACUCGACACCCCACCUGGGAGAGGACCCCCUUCGAAGUGGGGGAAGGAAGGGGUAACACAGAGUAGAGCAGGAAUUAAUCAAAUAGAAAGUAGGAAACAAGAGAUAAAAAAACACGUUUUCAGAUCCGUUUUGAUUUUGUGAAAAAGCCACAAAACUGACAAAUCUUCAGCGAGGUUCACUGAGAAGGAGAGACUCAAAUCAAUAAAGUUAGAAAUGAAAGAGGAGACAUUAGGGUGUGCGCCUCAGAAGUGAAAAUGAUCCCAAGGGGCUCGACGAACAAUUAUAUGGCAACAGAUUGGAUAAUGUAGAAGAAAUGGAUGAAUUCCCAGAAACCUGCAACCUACCAAAAUGGAAGGAGGAAGCUGAAUGCCUGGAAAGACUGAAUAACAACAUGUGUCGUUGUUGUAACAAACACAGAAAUUGAAUCAGUAACAAAAAGUCUCUGAACUCU
ensembl:lincRNA